AUGGGGGAUAUGAGGCCAUUGGGGACACUGGGGACAAUGGGGUCAAUGAGAUCAAUGGGGUCAAUGGGAUCAAUGGGGACAAUGGGAUCAAUGGGGACAUUGGAGUCAGUGGGGUCAGUGGGGCCAAUGGGAACAUUAGGGACACUGGGAUCAAUGGGGUCUAUGAGGUCAAUGGGGUCUAUGGGAACAUUAGUGGACACUGGGGUCAAUGGGGUUUAUGGGGUCAAUGGGGUCUAUAGGAUCAAUGGGGUCAUUGGGGUCUAUAGGAUCAAUGGGGUCAAUGGGGUCAGUGGGGUUUAUGAGGUCAAUGGGGUCUAUAGGAUCAAUGGGGUCUAUGGAGUCUAUGGGAUCAAUGGGGUCAAUGGGGAUCAAUGGGGUCAAUGGGGACAUUAGUGAACACUG
rnacentral:lncRNA from 1 species